rnacentral:tRNA from 1 species
ACCUAUUGAGUAUGAAUAAAUGUACGCUUGCCUUCCAAGUAAGAAGAUUAAUAGAUAUAUUUAAAGUAGGUA